CAGCUUGCUGCUUCGCUGACGAGUGGCGGACGGGUGAGUAAUGUCUGGGAAACUGCCUGAUGGAGGGGGAUAACUACUGGAAACGGUGGCUAAUACCGCAUAACGUCGCAAGACCAAAGAGGGGGACCUUCGGGCCUCUUGCCAUCAGAUGUGCCCAGAUGGGAUUAGCUUGUUGGUGAGGUAACGGCUCACCAAGGCGACGAUCCCUAGCUGGUCUGAGAGGAUGACCAGCCACACUGGAACUGAGACACGGUCCAGACUCCUACGGGAGGCAGCAGUGGGGAAUAUUGCACAAUGGGCGCAAGCCUGAUGCAGCCAUGCCGCGUGUAUGAAGAAGGCCUUCGGGUUGUAAAGUACUUUCAGCGGGGAGG
rnacentral:rRNA from 1 species